GUAAUAACAGCUAACGUUUAUCCAGCAUUUCCUCUCAGCCAGGCGAUGUUCCAAGAGCCUUAAGUAUUUUUUUUUCCAGCUUCCAGGGUACCAGAAAAUACUGUCCAAGCUACCAAAAGAGGGAAGAAGUUAAUAGUCCUACCCAGCUGUGAUACCUACUAACCAUGGCAAUGACCAGAAUGGCAAGAUAUCCAUCAAGUCAACCAACAUGUGGGGUAAGUGGCACUCACAUGUUGGUGGUAACCAAAGACUGAUUGUACUUAAGCCUGUGUAUGUGAUGUCACUUUGCCUCAGGGCUUCCAAAAUCCACUGUCUUUGACUUUGACAACUCAAUUUUAAUUUCUCUCAUAUGUGUUUCUUUAGAUUAAUUUCAACUAGGGUCUUUUGCAAUCUGGAUGUCCAUUUCAUUCCACGGGUUUGGGAAUGGUUGGCCAUUAUCUAUUCGGACAAUCUUUUAUUAUCUGUUUCCUUUCUGUUCUAUCUCUCUCAUCUUUAUUUUUUAUUGUUUUUAGCACUAGGAAUUUAACAAAGAGCCUAAUCACCCCUUUCUUUUCUAACCUUUCUACUAUAUGUUACCCCCAAAUAUCUGUAGGUUUCCCACCUCCCCCCCUUUUUUGGUUUUUUUCAAGACAGGGUUUCUCUGUGUAGCUUUGGAUCCUAUUCUGGCACUGGCUCUGGAGACCAGACUGGCCUUGAACUCACAGAGAUCUGCCUGCCUCUGCCUCCCAAGUGCU
rnacentral:lncRNA from 1 species